UUGGUACCCGUACCACUUUUUUGGUUCUUGGACUACCUAUUUAGGCAGUCCUAUUUGGUAGUGCCGUACAAUAGGUAGUCCAAGAACCAAAAAAGUGGUACGGGUACCAA